GCCUGGCUGGCUUAGCUGGUAGAGCGUGAGACUCAUGACCUCAGGGUCAUGAGUUUGCGCCCCAUGUUGGGUG
rnacentral:tRNA from 1 species